rnacentral:rRNA from 1 species
AUUGAACGCUAGCGGGAUGCUUUACACAUGCAAGUCGAACGAGUGGGGACGGGUGAGUAACACGUGGGUAACCUCCCAUCAGAGGGGAUAACACUUGGAAACAGGUGCAAAACCGAUACUGAUGGAUGGACCCGCGGUGCAUUAGCUAGUUGGGGAGGUAACGGCUCACCAAGGCCAUGAUGCAUAGCCGACCUGAGAGGUUGAUCGGCCACACUGGGACUGGGACCCGGCCCAGACUCCUACGGGAGGCAGCAGUAGGGAAUCUUCGGCAAUGGACGAAAGUCAGACCGAGCAACGCCGCGUGAGAGAAGAAGGUUUUCGGAUCGUAAAACUCUGUUGUUAGAGAAGCGGUAUCUAACCAGAAAGCCACGGCUAACUACGUGCCAGCAGCCGCGGUAAUAC